rnacentral:rRNA from 1 species
GGACAGUCGAUGCUUACACAUGCAAGUCGAUUCAAGUUACCUUCGGGUAAUGAGGAUGGCGGACGGGUGAGUAACGCGUAAGGAACUUGCCUCUUGGUCUGGGACAACUGUUGGAAACGACAGCUAAUACCGGAUAUUAUGAGAUUCUCGCAUGGGAAACUUAUGAAAGCUAUAUGCGCCAAGAGAGAGCCUUGCGUUCCAUUAGCUAGUUGGUGGGGUAACGGCCCACCAAGGCGACGAUGGAUAGCCGGCCUGAGAGGGUGAACGGCCACAAGGGGACUGAGACACGGCCCUUACUCCUACGGGAGGCAGCAGUGGGGAAUAUUGGACAAUGGGCCACAAGCCUGAUCCAGCAAUUCUGUGUGCACGAUGAAGGUCUUCGGAUUGUAAAGUGCUUUCAGUUGGGAAGAAGAAAGUGACGGUACCAACAGAAGAAGCGACGGCUAAAUACGUGCCAGCAGCCGCGGUAAUACGUAUGUCGCAAGCGUUAUCCGGAUUUAUUGGGCGUAAAGCGCGUCUAGGCGGAAAAAUAAGUCUGAUGUUAAAAUGCGGGGCUCAACUCCGUAUUGCGUUGGAAACUGUUUUUCUAGAGUACUGGAGAGGUGGGCGGAACUACAAGUGUAGAGGUGAAAUUCGUAGAUAUUUGUAGGAAUGCCGAUGGAGAAGUCAGCUCACUGGACAGAUACUGACGCUGAAGCGCGAAAGCGUGGGGAGCAAACAGGAUUAGAUACCCUGGUAGUCCACGCCGUAAACGAUGAUCACUAGGUGUUGGGGGGUCGAACCUCAGCGCCCAAGCUAACGCGAUAAGUGAUCCGCCUGGGGGAGUACGCACGCAAGUGUGAAACUCAAAGGAAUUGACGGGGGACCCGCACAAGCGGUGGAAGCAUGUGGGUUUAAUUCGACGCAACGCGAAGAAACCUUACCCCGCGUUUGACAUCCCUAAGAAAGUUUCCAGAAAAUGGAAUUCGUGGCCGGCUUGGCCGGAACUUAGUGGACAGGGGGGUGCCAUGGGCUGUUCGUCCGCCUCGUGGUCGGUGGAGAAGUGUGGGGUUAAGGUCC